UACGUAGGGGGCAAGCGUUGUCCGGAUUUAUUGGGCGUAAAGAGCGUGUAGGCGGCCAGGUAGGUCCGCUGUGAAAACUCGAGGCUCAACCUCGAGAUGUCGGCGGAAACCAUCUGGCUAGAGUCCGGAAGAGGAGAGUGGAAUUCCUGGUGUAGCGGUGAAAUGCGCAGAUAUCAGGAAGAACACCCGUGGCGAAGGCGGCUCUCUGGGACGGUACUGACGCUGAGGAGCGAAAGCCAGGGGAGCAAACGGG
rnacentral:rRNA from 1 species